UGAGGAAUAUUGGUCAAUGGGCGAGAGCCUGAACCAGCCAUCCCGCGUGCAGGAAGACGGCCCUAUGGGUUGUAAACUGCUUUUUUAUGGGAAGAAAAAGCUCUACGUGUAGGGCACUGACGGUACCAUAUGAAUAAGCAUCGGCUAACUCCGUGCCAGCAGCCGCGGUAAUACGGAGGAUGCGAGCGUUAUCCGGAUUUAUUAGGUUUAAAGGGUGUGUAGGCGGAUUAUUAAGUCAGUGGUGAAAUCUCAGAGCUUAACUCUGAAACUGCCAUUGAUACUGGUAAUCUUGAGUACAGUUGAAGUAGGCGGAAUGUGUAAUGUAGCGGUGAAAUGCUUAGAUAUUACACAGAACACCGAUUGCGAAGGCAGCUUACUAAGCUGUUACUGACGCUGAUGCACGAAAGCGUGGGGAGCGAACAGG
rnacentral:rRNA from 1 species